CCUCCCCCCGACCGCGCAGCGCCGCCGACGCAGCCGACAGUACCGGGCAGGCGGCGGCCGCGCCGGGAGCUGCGCGGAGCCUCGGAAAGGUUUUGAGAGCGGGAGAGCCGCAGCGCAGAGGGGCGACGGGAGGUUCGUUUCCCCCCUCUCCUGCCCCCGACGACGGCUGCCGCUCCCAAGCCGGGAGCAGCGGGCGAUGCAGCCGAGGGCCGUGCCGCCCGUGCGAGAGCCCUGGAGGCGCCGGAGAACCGGGCGUGCAGGAGCCUCCUGAAGCUCGGCAGAGGCAAGUGCGGGGCCCCGCGGCCCGGGGGGAGCAAGGCCGCGCAGCAGCACGGGCCGGGGGCCGCCCCGCUGCAGAGCGGCCGUGCCGAGAGGGGCCUGGGAGCGCCGCUGGACGGCGAGGCGCCCCGUGUGCGAGAAGGCCGAGGGUGUCGUGGGGGCCCUGGGAGGAGCGUGGCCAGCGGGCCGAGGGGAGUGACCCUGCCGCUCUGUGAGGCCCUGGGGAGGCCCCGCCGGGAGCCCUGCGUCCGGUUCUGGGCUCUUCUCGUUGGCCUUCUCGAGUCCCCCUGACACCUCAAGGGCACGGUGUCGGGGGCGUGGGGCCGGACUCUCUUUCAGGGGUGCCGAGCGACAGCACGCGAGGCGACGGGUGCAAACGGAAAGCCAGGAAGCUCCCGCUGAACGCGAGGAAGAACCUGUGUGCCGCGAGGGGGACGGAGCACUGGAGCAGCUUGCCCGGAGAGGCGGCCGAGUCUCCUUCUCCGGUGACACGCAAAGCCCGCCUGGACGCGAGCCUGGGCACCGUGCUCGAGGCGACGCUGCUGGAGCAGGGGGCUUGGACUAGACGAUCUCCAGAGGCGCCUCCAACCCUCCGCCCUCCUGUGGUGCUGCAGGACGACUGCGCCCGCCUCCCUCCCUCCGCCGGGCUCUGGGCCCCCUCGGUGACCCUGCCGGGAGCUCAGCGCGGGCUCCUCCAGGCCCAGCUCCUUCCAGCCACCCUGGGCACUGACAGGGCCGUAAAUCAAUCACUGUCACAACUUGCACAUUCAUGUCAGCGUUUAUUAUUGCAAACACAUGGAGCAAUUAGUUUAUUAACAGUGUAAAUGUGUGGAAUAAACCUUGAGUCUUGCACAA